rnacentral:rRNA from 1 species
ACGGAAGGCAGCAGUGGGGAAUAUUGCACAAUGGGCGAAAGCCUGAUGCAGCGACGCCGCGUGAACGAAGAAGUAUUUCGGUAUGUAAAGUUCUAUCAGCAGGGAAGAAAAUGACGGUACCUGACUAAGAAGCACCGGCUAAAUACGUGCCAGCAGCCGCGGUAAUACGUAUGGUGCAAGCGUUAUCCGGAUUUACUGGGUGUAAAGGGAGCGCAGGCGGUACGGCAAGUCUGAUGUGAAAGCCCGGGGCUCAACCCCGGUACUGCAUUGGAAACUGUCGAACUAGAGUGUCGGAGGGGUAAGCGGAAUUCCUAGUGUAGCGGUGAAAUGCGUAGAUAUUAGGAGGAACACCAGUGGCGAAGGCGGCUUACUGGACGAUAACUGACGCUGAGGCUCGAAAGCGUGGGGAGCAAACAGGAUUAGAUACCCUGGUA